GCAUAUCAAUAAGCGGAGGAAAAGAAACCAACAGGGAUUGCCCUAGUAACGGCGAGUGAAGCGGCAACAGCUCAAAUUUGAAAUCUGGCGCAAGCUCGAGUUGUAAUUUGUAGAGGAUGCUUCUGGCCAGCGGCCGUUCUAAGUUCCUUGGAACAGGACGUCAUAGAGGGUGAGAAUCCCGUAUGUGACCGGCGCGCAGCCUUUACGUAGCUCCUUCGACGAGUCGAGUUGUUUGGGAAUGCAGCUCUAAAUGGGAGGUAAAUUUCUUCUAAAGCUAAAUACCGGCCAGAGACCGAUAGCGCACAAGUAGAGUGAUCGAAAGAUGAAAAGCACUUUGGAAAGAGAGUUAAAAAGCACGUGAAAUUGUUGAAAGGGAAGCGCUUGCAACCAGACUUCGUAGCGAUGUUCCGCUGGUCUUUUGACCGGUCCACUCAUCGUCGCGAGGCCAACAUCGUCUGGGCCCGCUGGAUAAGACCUAAGGAAUGUAGCUUCCCUCGGGAAGUGUUAUAGCCUGUGGUGAUGCAGCGCGGCUCGGGCGAGGUCCGCGCUUCGGCAAGGAUGUUGGCGUAAUGGUUGUCAGCGGCCCGUCUUGAAACACGGACCAAGGAGUCUAACAUCUAUGCGAGUGUUCGGGUGUCAAACCCCUACGCGUAAUGAAAGUGAACGGAGGUGGGAAGCGCAAGCUGCACCAUCGACCGAUCCUGAUGUCCUCGGAUGGAUUUGAGUAAGAGCAUAGCUGUUGGGACCCGAAAGAUGGUGAACUAUGCCUGAAUAGGGUGAAGCCAGAGGAAACUCUGGUGGAGGCUCGCAGCGGUUCUGACGUGCAAAUCGAUCGUCAAAUUUGGGUAUAGGGGCGAAAGACUAAUCGAACCAUCUAGUAGCUGGUUCCUGCCGA
rnacentral:rRNA from 1 species